rnacentral:rRNA from 1 species
UACUGCAGUCGACGGCAGCACGGGUGCUUGCACCUGGUGGCGAGUGGCGAACGGGUGAGUAAUACAUCGGAACAUGUCCUGUAGUGGGGGAUAGCCCGGCGAAAGCCGGAUUAAUACCGCAUACGAUCUACGGAUGAAAGCGGGGGACCUUCGGGCCUCGCGCUAUAGGGUUGGCCGAUGGCUGAUUAGCUAGUUGGUGGGGUAAAGGCCUACCAAGGCGACGAUCAGUAGCUGGUCUGAGAGGACGACCAGCCACACUGGGACUGAGACACGGCCCAGACUCCUACGGGAGGCAGCAGUGGGGAAUUUUGGACAAUGGGCGAAAGCCUGAUCCAGCAAUGCCGCGUGUGUGAAGAAGGCCUUCGGGUUGUAAAGCACUUUUGUCCGGAAAGAAAUCCUUGGCUCUAAUACAGUCGGGGGAUGACGGUACCGGAAGAAUAAGCACCGGCUAACUACGUGCCAGCAGCCGCGGUAAUACGUAGGGUGCGAGCGUUAAUCGGAAUUACUGGGCGUAAAGCGUGCGCAGGCGGUUUGCUAAGACCGAUGUGAAAUCCCCGGGCUCAACCUGGGAACUGCAUUGGUGACUGGCAGGCUAGAGUAUGGCAGAGGGGGGUAGAAUUCCACGUGUAGCAGUGAAAUGCUAGAGAUGUGGAGGAAUACCGAUGGCGAAGGCAGCCCCCUGGGCCAAUACUGACGCUCAUGCACGAAAGCGUGGGGAGCAAACGGAUAGAUACCCUGGUAGUCCCGCCCUACAUGUCACUAGUGGGGAUUCAUUCCUUAGUAACGUAGCUAACGUGAAUGACCGCCUGGGGAGUACGUCGCAAGAUAAAACUCAAAAUUGACGGGGACCCCCAACGGGGAGAUGUGAAU